rnacentral:misc_RNA from 1 species
UACUAAAUUAUUAUUGAAACUAAUAAAUUUUACUUUUCCAAUAUAUAUUAAACAAGGAUAUAUUAGUAAGCUAAUAAACUACUAAUUUAAAAAGAAAGUGGCCUAUAGUUUGAACGGAUAAAAAAUGAAAGUAAACUUGUCUUUGUGGGACGGAUGGAGUAUUCAUUUUAGCUUGCAACUUAUUAGUAGAAGCAUUUUUUUUUUUCUGAUUCUCAGUGAUACUGAUUUCUUUUGUUGUGCCAUUAGGUACCAUUGUCCAAUGGCAUGGUUUAUUUUUAUGCAAUUUAAUUUUACAUUUUCUUUUACUGUAUCAAUUGUCAAGGAUUAAUGAUAAUUCCUAUUCUCAUCGUCGCGUUGAGCUUGUUGCUAGAGAGCUUAUUCUUCUAACUAGAUACUAAGUUGAGCUAGUGCAUACAAAUGGCUCUUAUCAUGUCAUGGUUUCUGUGAAUCACAAUUUUUUUUCUUGGAUGAGUUUCCUUCCCUUUUGUCGUUCGCAUAAUUUGUUCUGUUUCUUUUUAUGGUUGUUCCUUUGGUUUAUGGAAGUAUAGCAUUGCCUUUCUCACAGUUAAAGUCAAUUUCUUGCUACUCUUGUCCGUC